rnacentral:rRNA from 1 species
GAAAGAUGAAAAGAACUUUGAAAAGAGAGUUAAACAGUACGUGAAAUUGUUGAAAGGGAAACGAUUGAAGCCAGUCGUACCUUCGGGUAAUCAGCCUUUCGGGUGCGAUUCUGUGGAGUGUGAGGAGCUUAAACACCUUCAUGUUUUGCAUAUUCGUGCUCUUGGGUGUACUUGCCCGUGUGGUUGGUUAACAUCAAUUUUGGUGGUCAUAAAAUGACUGGAGGAAUGUAGCUUCGAUCUUGUAUUGAAGUGUUAUA